UCAAACGAUCGAGGAAACGGGCCUGGGCACGGUACGGAUAGUAUAGUGCGAGUAGGCCCUUAGAGAGAAACACGCCUGAGCAAGACACAGACACCCGAGGUAGAGAAGCACCCCGGGGUUCCACACGCUCACCUGAGACCCCCUCCUGAACUCUGCACACUCACCUGAGACUAAAGAAAGACCGAGUGCAGCUCAUGGGUAUUUAUAUCAUUGGGCUCAACCACUGCAGCACAUGGACACAGACACAAUCACUAAUCACAGCUAAAUCUGCAGUCUGACACACACACACUCACUCACACACAUGCACACUGAUUCCACACUCAUGUUUACACACACUUUAAUUUUAUACUUCUCCAGCACAUUAUUUUCUCAUUGUAAAGCCGUUAAAUAUUACACAAAACAGAACCCCCCCCCCCCCUCUCCUCCAGCAAUUGUUUUCUCCCAUUUCCCAUGAUGCACCACAUCACAGGUAUAAAAGCUGAUUGCUGGAGCUGCUCUGGUUUCCAUAAUGAAGCAAGCACCUGAAGUCUGAUGUCAGCAUGAAAUUAUAAUUUUUGGCCUAAUCGAUGAAGGGUUAUGAAGUAGAACUGGCCUCAUGAACAGCAAGGGGAAGAUGAACAUGUGUUGUGUUGUUUGGGAUGUAAUGGACUAGUUAAAAAAUUAGGAGUUUAGCAAAAAAGUGUGAGAGUCAUGUUUUUAGAGUUUAUUUUUAAACUUUAACACAGUUUUGUGUUAUGAGAUACUCCCUGCUGUGUUGUGUUCUGGAGUUCAUUCGCUGGUGUUCAGCAUCGUGCUUUAACUCCUCACUGGAGCUGAAUGUUUAGACAGUCCGCCAUUACACAACUCUGCCGAGCAGCACAGAGAUCUGGAGUUCUGUUCUUCGUUGUGAGUCAUGAUGCUGGUAAAAGUGCAAUUUGGUAUCAAGAAAAAAAUAUUAAACUGGAAGAAGACUGUUUCUUGGAUUUUGUCAGUGCGGUCCAGCAGAAGUUUGUGAUAUCAGAGGAUACAGCACUGAAAGUCACAGACUGUCCAUGGCAUAGAGGUGGAUGAGGAUGUAUUUCCAGAACUUGCAACAACCAGAGAAGCAUGUCAUCCACACUGAUGAUGAUUUGACUGUCCUGCAGCAAGGGGCUGUUGAAGUGCCCUGCUGCCCAAGUCUGACAUGCAUUAUCUGUGUCAAGCAGUUUAAGCAGCAGUGAUUCGAAAUCCCAAAUUAUUCAACCUUUUAUGGACCGUGUCCGUGCAAGAAAUUAAAGUUUGUUUGCUGUUUUACUUUUAUAUAAACAGAUCUUAUACUGUAAACAUUACAAAAUAACAUUAGAGAAUAAAUGCAUUUUAAAGUAUUAAAUAGUAUAUACAGUUAUUAGAUUAAGUGUUUGGUUUAAAAAUUAAUCUAAUUUUGGUUGUUUUCUUUCUCAUUUCUUUUUCUUUGUUUCAGAAUAUCGAGCAAAUUCUAACUUCAAAGCCAGCAAAGUUGACUGUGAUUACUUAAUAUUUUUUGCUGCUUUUUAUUCCUGCAAAGUAAAUUUUAUAUAAUGUGAUGUGUUUGUGGUCUUGUGCAGUCUCACUUAGCCAUGGGUUUUAGUUGACACUGGCUGUCAACAUGUACUAAUUGUAAAUGUUUUGCUGUUAUAUUCAAUGUAAAAAUGUCAAUUCCUGAUAUCAAGAACUUAAUUUCACUGGUUGAAAUGUUAAUUCUUGAUUGCUGCAGUUAUAUUUGUUAAAUCUGUUAUUUCUGAUAUCAGCAAUGAGGAAAGUCAUUUAUAAUCUCUAAAUUGGCCAAUUUCACUGGUAAUAAUUACAUUCAUGAUAUUAGAAAUUAACACAGUCACUAGUGACAAAACCAAUUAUUGAUAUCAAAAAUGAACAUCUUUACUAGUUGUCAAGUAUUUCUCGAUAUCAACAACUAAAUUAUUAAUAUCAAAAAUUGCAUUUUACCUAGUAAGAAAUUAAUUCUUGAUAUCAACAAUUAAAGUAAAUGGGAGCCUACGGUGACAUUUAACUCGGGAAAGUUCAAUUACAGAUAUCAAAACGGUAGAUGUAGAUAUCAUAAAUGUAACUGUUAAUCAAAAAUAUCAAUAUAUCAAGAAUUAAGUUGUUGAUAUCAAGAAUAUACAUAUCCUGAAAAUAAAUAAAAGUCAAAAGUGCUUGCCAUAGACUGAUUGGCAGCCUCUGAAUUUGACAAAUGUGACACAGGCUAUAUUUUAAAUACACACUAGAUGGCGCUUCUUACAUAUAAGUGAACCGGUCUCUUCGUGUCCGUCCGCCGCUGUAGUUCUGCUUCUGUCCGUCUGGUGUCGUUCGUCUUUGAUCCGCCUUCAACACUGACAUUUACACUGAACUGAACUGAUUUCAUUCUUGAAUUACUUCAGCUGCACCGCUGCUCACCUGCAUGCCGGGUGUGCUGAAAAUGCUCCACAGACUGAAAUAUUUAUUUUGAAUCCUUCAUCUACUUUAAGCUGCUGUGAUAACAUUAAUACAGUAAAAGUUCUAUAGAAAUAAACAUGACUAGACAUAAAUAAACAAAUACACAAAUGAAAUAAUUGUGGUCUUGUUGCACUACUUUAUAUCUACUUAUAAUAUUUUCAAUACUCUGGCACAAAGAAAGGUGUGUAGUCUGCUCAGGCAUCAAUCUCUUUUGCAUAAAUUAAAGACCUUGUUGAAGUAAAUUUCUUCUCCACUGAAAAAAUAAGGGAUUACUUUUCAUCUUCAAGUGAUUUAAUUCUUAUUUAAUAAUCAUUUCAAUAUUUUCUGUGGUCAGCAACAUAUCAGUUCUGGAUGUGAGGUGUUGGGUCUUUUGUUGAGGUGGACAGGUCUAGAGUGAGUGUUAUCUGGAUUUGUGCUGUAGCGGUGCUGAUGUUUUAAUGUUGUUUCCGUCAUUCACUAAUCCUCUGAUGCGGAAACAGCAGGAUCUCCAGCGUCUUACAAGCAUUCAGAGAGAGUCGUGAAACAUCACAGAAUAUUAUUCCUCUUUAACACACUGAAUAAACAGCAGAGCAACCUUAACAAAUCCAGCUGUGUUUCUAACCCUCUUUCCUCAUCUUCCACCACAUUACACCAGUUAUUCUAGUUCACCAAGAGACUUUAAAUAAACAACAUGACAAUAAGUACUAUUAAAUGUGUGUUUUAUUGUUAUUAAUGACAUUUUGUCUUCAAUUAACAUCGCAGAUACAGAAUUAAAAAGAGAAAAAUUCAAAAACAGGAGACAAACCGAAGCUUAAUCUUUAGUGUACGACUGGUGAAAGUGCCGGAGACAAAUUGUGUGCUAUAUAAUAUUAAUUCUCUUGUUGUUAUAUUCUUAUUUUGAUCAGCAGUAUCAGAAAUGCUCAUGAAAGAGUUUGCCACUCUCUUGGAAAAAGUCAACUCUGCUAUUUCAUAAAUGUGGCUAGAUUGUCUUUAUUUUAUUACCAUUUCUAUUCAUAUUUACACAGUGUAAUAUAAAAUACAAGAGAAGAAAACUUGCAAAAAUAUGAGAAAUGAAAUCAUGUUGAAGCAGUCUGAUUGGUUCAGCUUCAGAUUAAUCACACCGCAGAAGAUUCCAAACCGAUCAAACACUUGACCUUAUCUGUGUUUGGGAUGAAAUGCUGGAUGAGAAGGUCGUGUGACCCUGUUACUCUGGACACCUCUCUGAGUUAAAGAUCUUUGCAUAUAAUCUGUUUUUUGGCACUACUGACAAAGAAUAAUCAGAUGAAGCUUUGCUGUUCCUCGUAAACGGGACAGCAAUGAUAUUUUCCCACAUCUGCGAGAGGCAUUUGAUCUUUUCAUCCUAUGUUAAAUCCAUGAUUAUUUAUUCAAAUUUCUUGUUGAGUUUUCCCUGAUUUUCACCAGAGCAUCUGAGAAGGCAAUAUGUUUGUACCCAUCGCUAAAUACCAGCUUUGGUUUCUUUUCUUUUACAUUAAUACAGUUGCAGAUUACUGAUGUAAAGCCUUCAUUAGAUUGAUAGUAAGACUAUUAAAUAAGCACUAAUGAACAGGCAGUGCCACGUGUGGAAUGGAGCAGCUUUAUUUAUAAAUGCCUGGCCUGUCCAUAUGACGGCUGACCUCAUGUAAACACACUCUCGUUUAGUCCUCCACUCUUGAAGCAAAGAUAUAAGCUGUCUACGCUCUCACAGAUACAGUAAGAGCUCUUAAUGAGACUGUACCUCUCUGAAGGAACCCUAUUAUACUUUUAGAAAUUAAUUAGCACAUUUAAGAUACCAAUAUGGACCAUUUUUGUUCAAAUGGGUACCUAAAAAGAUACGGCCCCAGUGACAGCUCUUACAUGUUUUUCUGAGAAUGAAGACCACAGGUGUCAAACUAAGUUCCUGGAGGGCUGCAG